rnacentral:misc_RNA from 1 species
GAAAUGCGAUAACUAGUGUGAAUUGCAGAAUUCCGUGAAUCAUCGAGUCUUUGAACGCACAUUGCGCCCCCUGGUAUUCCGGGGGGCAUGCCUGUCCGAGCGUCAUUGCUGCCCAUCAAGCACGGCUUGUGUGUUGGGUCGUCGUCCCCUCUCCGGGGGGGACGGGCCCCAAAGGCAGCGGCGGCACCGCGUCCGAUCCUCGAGCGUAUGGGGCUUUGUCACCCGCUCUGUAGGCCCGGCCGGCGCUUGCCGAACGCAAAUCAAUCUUUUCCAGGUUGACCUCGGAUCAGGUAGGGAUACCCGCUGAACUUAAGC